rnacentral:rRNA from 1 species
GAUGAACGCUGGCGGCGUGCCUAAUACAUGCAAGUCGAGCGAAUGGAUUAAGAGCUUGCUCUUAUGAAGUUAGCGGCGGACGGGUGAGUAACACGUGGGUAACCUGCCCAUAAGACUGGGAUAACUCCGGGAAACCGGGGCUAAUACCGGAUAACAUUUUGAAACGCAUGGUUCGAAAUUGAAAGGCGGCUUAGGCUGUCACUUAUGGAUGGACCCGCGUCGCAUUAGCUAGUUGGUGAGGUAACGGCUCACGAAGGCAACGAUGCGUGGCCGACCUGAGAGGGUGAUCGGCCACACUGGGACUGAGACACGGCCCAGACUCCUACGGGAGGCAGCAGUAGGGAAUCUUCCGCAAUGGACGAAAGUCUGACGGAGCAACGCCGCGUGAGUGAUGAAGGCUUUCGGGUCGUAAAACUCUGUUGUUAGGGAAGAACAAGUGCUAGUUGAAUAAGCUGGCACCUUGACGGUACCUAACCAGAAAGCCACGGCUAACUACGUGCCAGCAGCCGCCGCCG